rnacentral:rRNA from 1 species
AAUAGCGUAUAUGUAUGUUGUUGCGGUUGAAAAGCUCGUAGUUGGACUUCUGGCGGCCUCGACCGGUCCGCCUAGCGCGAGCACUGGUUGGGGCUGUCGUUUGGUCGACGGUGCGCGUUGGUCUUCAUUGCUCGGCGCGCUCUCUGUCGGCGAUGUUACUUUGAGGAAAUCAGAGUGCUCAAAGCAAGCGUUCGCUCGUGACUUCACUAGCAUGGAAUAACACAGAUGGGCUCUUUUUCGCAACGUUGGUCUGCGUCAAUUGAGCAACGAUCGAUAGAGACGGUCGGGGGCAUUCGUAUUGCGCAGUUAGAGGUGAAAUUCUCCGAUCUGCGCAAGACGCACUAAUGCGAAAGCAGUUGCCAAGGACGUCCUCUUAUGAUCAAGAGCGAAAGUCGGGGGAUCAAAGAUGAUUAGAUACCGUCGUAGUCCCGACCAUAAAUGAUGCCGACUGAGCGUCGGCGACUCGGCUCCAAGCCGGACGUCGGCGCUCUUAGAGAAAUUAAAGUCUAUGGGCUCCGGGGGUAGUAUGGUCGCAAGUCUGAAACUUGAAGGAAUUGACGGAAGGGCACCACAAGGCGUGGAUGUUGCGGCUUAAUUUGACUCAACACGGGAAAGCUUACUAGGUUUGGACACUUGAAUGAGGGACAUAUUGAAGCUCUUACCUUUUUUUGUGGAUGGUGGUGCAUGGUCGUUCUCAGCCCGUGGGUUGACCUGUCAGGUUUACUCCGGUAACGCGCGAGACCUCGGUUUGCUAAAUAGACGUGGCUGUUUCGGCACCCGCGCUCUUCUUAGAGAGAGACUCGGCGAGAGUCGAGGGAAGUCGAGGCAAUAACAGAUCUGUGAUGCCCUUAGUUAUCCUAGGUCGCACGCGCCAUACAAUGUGGCGCACAACGAGUUUCCUUGGCCGACAGGAG